rnacentral:tRNA from 1 species
GAAAGAAUAAUUAAAAUAUAAUUUUAGUUUGUGGAAUUAAGCUUAAUGGUUAAAAUCCAUUUUUUUUCC